GGCGUUGUGGCUCAGUGGUAGAGUGCUUGCCUCGCAUGCGUGAGGCCCUGAGUUUGAUCCUCAGCACCA
rnacentral:tRNA from 1 species